rnacentral:rRNA from 1 species
CAGCCGCCGCGGGAAUACGGAGGGGGCUAGCGUUGUUCGGAAUUACUGGGCGUAAAGCGCACGUAGGCGGCUUGGUAAGUUAGAGGUGAAAGCCUGGAGCUCAACUCCAGAAUUGCCUUUAAGACUGCCGAGCUAGCAGGUGAGAGAGGUAAGUGGAAUUCCGAGUGUAGAGGUGAAAUUCGUAGAUAUUCGGAAGAACACCAGUGGCGAAGGCGGCUUACUGGCUCAUACUGGACGCUGAGGUGCGAAAGCGUGGGGAGCAAACAGGAUUAGAUACCCCAGUAGUCCCUGUCUCUUAUAC